UAUGAGAUUCAGGAUUUGGGAAGUCCCAGGGGCUUUGGGCUCUUGGCAUUCCCUGACCCCAGUCCCACACAGUGCCUGGGGGUGCACCCUGGGGACCCCUGGCCACUGGCACUGGAUGGCACUGACAGCAACUCCACCCUCCAGUUCCACAGGCGUCCUGUGGUGUUUUUUUGUCCCCUGAGGCUGAUCUGUGUCACCAUGAAGUUCCAGCUCGAGGCCACGGACAUCCAAACGCUGCUGAAACACAAAAUCCCCGACUGUUACACCUUCAGUGACACUGACUGUCCACAAGUGUCCCUAAAUGUCCCGAAGUGUCCCCUGAAUGUC